rnacentral:rRNA from 1 species
AUGGCUGCCGGCUUCAGUGCCCACCCGCCACAUAAACCAGCCACCACCGGAGUCCAUACCGCUACACGUCCUCGGAAACCUAAGGGUGGCAACGGCGGGCGUCACAAACCUCACCAUGGAGCAGCUUUACCAUCUGCCACUACUCCCCAUGCGGCGGCUCCUAUCAUGCCGCUCUUGGUACAGGUGCCCGCUCUGGCCUCUUCAUCUAUGAUGGCAGCGGGCUAUGGGCAGAACGCUCCUAUGCUGAGCUCAAUGCAACAGCAGCCACCUACGAUUCAACCUUCAGGGGUCGCCGAGGGCGCAACAAAGCCUAAGAAGGUGUGGUGUUCUAAGUGUCAAUCUGCAGGGCACACAUAUGAUGACUGCGAGACACAACAUUAUUGUUUCAUUUGCAACAAGACUAAUCACCUGAUGACCACGUGGCGCUGCCUUGCUCUCAAGAUGCCGAAGCCGGCGGCGAUCCUGUAUGGAUAUGGAACUGAAAAUAUGGCAUUCUUUCAGAUGCCUGACAAUGUUUGCAGGGAGGACCUUGCACCACAGGAUUCACUGACAGCAUUGGUAUCUAUUUCUGGUGGCUCUAUCACUCCCAGUAUCGUGGAGGCAGAGGUUGCUAAGAUUGCUCAGUACCAACAGUAG